CACGGGGCCAGCCCCAUACUUCACUUUUAAAAAGUAUUGGUUCUCCAGAAAGAAGAGUCUGAAACAUAGGCUUAUGUGCAAGUAUUGUAUUGGUUUAAAUCUGAUGUUGAAAAAAGAUACCAGAGUUGACUGAAGCCUCUCAUGUACUCCUCCUGGAGCCCAUUUACCUCUCAGUGUUUUCAAGCCAGUAUCCAAAUCAUAAUUUUGGGAGAGAGGAGCAAUGGACUUUUUGAGAAUUCAGAAUGUAAAGAAAGUGUCCUACCGAUUUUUAAGAAAAUCUAAAAAGAACGAAGAUCCCUAUUAGCUGAGAGACCGAGAAGCUCACAGUCCCCAACGCUACAGAAAGCAAAAUUCUCUGACUGUUCCAACAAUUACAGGGAUGUUUCAAGGAAUACUUUGAAAAGCAGAAUCUGUGUCUUUGUGCAUCUUAAAUUUAAAGCGACUGCCCCAUUGAACAAAACACAGAGAACCUGAAAAUUUCUGAGAAACUCCAUCAAACAGCCCUCGUAAAGCAAUGUCUCCAGGACCUACUGUUCUAUCUCUUCAAAUCCAGCACAUGUGGGCUAAAAAAGGACUUAGUAUGUUACCGGUCAUGAAAUGGACUAUCCAUAGAUAUUUUCUAAAUUUUAAGAAAAAAUAUAUUUACUGC
rnacentral:lncRNA from 1 species